rnacentral:lncRNA from 1 species
CAUUCGGAUUGCACACAAGUUUAACUAUUAGGCUUGCACAGUUUUCUUAGACUUUUUUUUUUAAAGUUCACAAUCUAUUGAACCUAAGCAUGGCUGCAAACUGAAACUACAUAUAGCAAAAAUAAAAAUAAAAAAUAAAUCAUCAGAAUCCUUCAUACAAAGCUGUUUACUACUUGCGAAGUGUUGAUGAUCCCUGCACGUUUAAAGACACACGUGGCUUUGGAUUACGGAAUCAAUGCUCAUCAGCUACAUGUGACUGAUUUCAUCAUGAACUCUGACAAAAGCUGAGUUUCUCUGAAAACUGGCAACAUUCUCUUGAUUCCUGUUUCUUGGCUGGACUCAGUGUCCCUGGUGGUGAGCACACAACUUAUUUAAAAUGGCACAGAACUGCUCUAAUUCGGAGAUUCAAAGGUGUGAAGAUCUUCAAGCAUCUCAAGCCUCACACUUUCUUGUCAACGUGCUGUACAACAAGUGGACAGUAAGCACCUGGCUCUGUUUUUACUGCCUCAAGCAACAAAUUACGCUAAUGUUCACAUUUCUCUACUUCUAAAGAGAUUGAAUGAAUGCAAACCUCAAAAAGAGAUGGGGAAGGAUCACCUCCUCAGUGCCUGCUACCAGCUUCAAACCAUGGGGUCAGCACAGAGAGAAACUACUUCCUACAACUACUGCAAGCACAGAAGAACUCUGAUUUAGUAGAGGUUGGCAACCCCGCCUUUGGCAGGAGAGACGUGGACCUGUUGGAGUGUGUCCAGAGGAGGGCCACAAAAAUGAUCCAAGGGAUGGAACACCUCACCUACAAGGACAGGCCAAGAUUGCUCAGGCUGUUCAGCCUGGAGAAGAGAAGGCUCCAAGGUGACCUGAUAGCAGCCUUCCAUAGAGGCUAUAAGAAGGGGAAAGACUCUAGCUGGGUCUGCUGUGACAAGACAAGGGGAAAUGGUUUCAAACUAACAGAAGGAAGAUUUAGAUUGGAUAUAAGGAAGGAG